GUGUCAGCCGCCGCGGUAAUACGUAGGGUGCAAGCGUUGUCCGGAAUUAUUGGGCGUAAAGAGCUCGUAGGCGGUUUGUUGCGUCGGCUGUGAAAACCUGAGGCUCAACCUCAGGCCUGCAGUCGAUACGAGCAGACUAGAGUGUUGCAGGGGAGACUGGAAUUCCUGGUGUAGCGGUGAAAUGCGCAGAUAUCAGGAGGAACACCGGUGGCGAAGGCGGGUCUCUGGGCAACAACUGACGCUGAGGAGCGAAAGCGUGGGGAGCGAACAGGAUUAGAUACCCUGGUAGUCCACGCCGUAAACGUUGGGCGCUAGGUGUGGGGCUCAUUCCACGAGUUCCGUGCCGCAGCUAACGCAUUAAGCGCCCCGCCUGGGGAGUACGGCCGCAAGGCUAAAACUCAAAUGAAUUGACGGGG
rnacentral:rRNA from 1 species